ACCAUACAGGUGCCUCAAAAGGGCCUAACAGAGAAUCCGGUCAAAACCCGGAACAGUACCGCUGCUGUAGCAGGGAGUCCUUGUAUAAUCCACUAGAAACGGGAAGGAACGAGGGGGAAGAACUGGAGUCAGAAGAACUGCCUGUAUGA
rnacentral:ncRNA from 1 species